rnacentral:ncRNA from 1 species
AAAGACUUAGUCCUAACCUUACAGUUAGUUCUUACCAGACAUAUACAUGCAAGUAUCCGCACUCCAGUGUAAAUGCCCUAAUCCCUUCACCAAAGACAGAGGAGCUGGUAUCAGGCACACCCAUCGCAGUAGCCCAAAACACCUUGCUUCGCCACACCCCCACGGGUCUUCAGCAGUAAUUGACAUUAAGCAAUAAGUGUAAACUUGACUUAGCCAUGGUAAACAACUAGGGUUGGUAAAUCUUGUGCCAGCCACCGCGGUCAUACAAGAGACCCAAAUUAACUGUACCCGGCGUAAAGAGUGGCACAAUAUUAUCGCACUAACUAAGGCUAAAACAUAACUAAGCUGUCAUAAGCCAAAGUUACUCCCAAACCCACCCUAAAAAUGACCUUAGUAUUCCAGAUCAACUCAUUGCCACGAAAGCUAGGACACAAACUGGGAUUAGAUACCCCACUAUGCCUAGCCAUAAAUCCAGAUUCUCCCUUUACUUGAGCAUCCGCCCGAGAACUACGAGCACAAACGCUUAACACUCUAAGGACUUGGCGGUGCCCCAAACCCACCUAGAGGAGCCUGUUCUAUAAUCGAUAACCCACGAUACACCCAACCACUUCUAGCCAAAACAGCCUAUAUACCGCCGUCGCCAGCUUGCCUCAAUUGAAAGUGCAACAGCAAGCACAAUAGCUAUCCCACCACGCUAAAAAGACAGGUCAAGGUAUAGCCCAUGAAGUGGAAGAAAUGGGCUACAUUCUCUACAAUAGAGUACUAACGAAAAUGGGCAUGAAAUUUCCCCUAGAAGGCGGAUUUAGCAGUAAAAAAAGACAAUAGAGCUUUUUUUAAGAUGGCCCUGGAGCACGUACAUACCGCCCGUCACCCUCCUCAUAUGCUUCCAAUCAAUAAUAAUUAAAACAAAUAUUCCAGCUAUAAGAAGAGGC